rnacentral:rRNA from 1 species
GACGAAGGAUGCAAGCGUUAUCCGGAUUCAUUGGGUUUAAAGGGAGCGUAGGUGGCCUUAUAAGUCAGUGGUGAAAUCUCUGGGCUUAACCCAGAAAUUGCCAUUGAUACUGUAGAGCUUGAGUAUAGAUGCCGUUGGCGGAAUAUGACAUGUAGUGGUGAAAUACAUAGAGAUGUCAUAGAACACCGAUUGCGAAGGCAGCUAACGAAACUAUAACUGACACUGAGGCUCGAAAGUGUGGGAUCAAACAGG